rnacentral:rRNA from 1 species
AGCUUCACGAAGUCGGGUUGCAGACUUCGAUCCGAACUGAGAGAGGCUUUUGGGAUUAGCAUCCUGUCACCAGGUAGCUGCCUUCUGUACCCCCCAUUGUAACACGUGUGUAGCCCCGGACGUAAGGGCCGUGCUGAUUUGACGUCAUCCCCACCUUCCUCACAUCUUACGACGGCAGUCUCUCUAGAGUCCUCAGCAUGACCUGUUAGUAACUAAAGAUAAGGGUUGCGCUCGUUAUGGCACUUAAGCCGACACCUCACGGCACGAGCUGACGACAACCAUGCAGCACCUUCACAUUUGUCUUACGACUAUACUGUUUCCAAUAUAUUCAAAUGCAAUUUAAGCCCGGGUAAGGUUCCUCGCGUAUCAUCGAAUUAAACCACAUGUUCCUCCGCUUGUGCGGGCCCCCGUCAAUUCCUUUGAGUUUCACCGUUGCCGGCGUACUCCCCAGGUGGAAUACUUAAUGCUUUCGCUUGGCCGCUUACUGUAUAUCGCAAACAGCGAGUAUUCAUCGUUUACUGUGUGGACUACCAGGGUAUCUAAUCCUGUUUGAUACCCACACUUUCGAGCAUCAGUGUCAGUUGCAGUCCAGUGAGCUGCCUUCGCAAUCGGAGUUCUUCGUGAUAUCUAAGCAUUUCACCGCUACACCACGAAUUCCGCCCACCUCUACUGUACUCAAGACAGCCAGUAUCAACUGCAAUUUUACGGUUGAGCCGCAAACUUUCACAACUGACUUAACUGUCCACCUACGCUCCCUUUAAACCCAAUAAAUCCGGAUAACGCUCGGAUCCUCCGUAUUACCGCGGCUGCUGGCACGGAGUUAGCCGAUCCUUAUUCAUAUGGUACAUACAAAAUUCCACACGUGGAAAACUUUAUUCCCAUAUAAAAGAAGUUUACAACCCAUAGGGCAGUCAUCCUUCACGCUACUUGGCUGGUUCAGGCCUGCGCCCAUUGACCAAUAUUCCUCACUGCUGCCUCCCGUAGGAGUUUGGACCGUGUCUCAGUUCCAAUGUGGGGGACCUUCCUCUCAGAACCCCUAUCCAUCGAAGGUUUGGUGAGCCGUUACCUCACCAACUGCCUAAUGGAACGCAUC